UAGGGAAUCUUCGGCAAUGGACGAAAGUCUGACCGAGCAACGCCGCGUGAGUGAAGAAGGUUUUCGGAUCGUAAAACUCUGUUGUUAGAGAAGAACGUUGCAUAGAGUGGAAAAUUAUGCAAGUGACGGUAUCUAACCAGAAAGGGACGGCUAACUACGUGCCAGCAGCCGCGGUAAUACGUAGGUCCCGAGCGUUGUCCGGAUUUAUUGGGCGUAAAGCGAGCGCAGGUGGUUUAAUAAGUCUGAUGUAAAAGGCAGUGGCUCAACCAUUGUGUGCAUUGGAAACUGUUAGACUUGAGUGCAGUAGAGGAGAGUGGAAUUCCAUGUGUAGCGGUGAAAUGCGUAGAUAUAUGGAGGAACACCGGUGGCGAAAGCGGCUCUCUGGACUGUCACUGACACUGAGGCUCGAAAGCGUGGGUAGCAAACAGGAUUA
rnacentral:rRNA from 1 species